rnacentral:rRNA from 1 species
CAACUUUUAACAACGGAUCUCUUGGUUCUCGCAUCGAUGAAGAACGUAGCAAAGUGCGAUAACUAGUGUGAAUUGCAUAUUCAGUGAAUCAUCGAGUCUUUGAACGCAACUUGCACUCAUUGGUAUU